AUUGUGGUCAGGUGCCACUCACAGAAACUGAGUUUCCUUUGAGAUGUGCCUACUGCCCUUUUCAUGCCCAGAGCAGAGUGAGGCUACUGCCUUGUGCCUCUGGGCACAUCUCACACGGAGCCUAGAGCAGAGCUGCAAACCACAGAUCUGUGAAAAAGAGUCAAAUCAAGAGAAAAAACGGGGUCUUUGCAUCUGAAGACUGGUGAGAAAGAACCAAUUUGCUUGGAAAUGACGUUGCCAUUUCCCGCAGGGUUGGUUCAUUCUGCUAGAACUUCUCACCCGCUCGUGCAGAAAUGUUCCUUGAAACAGAGGCUUCUCUCAGGUGGAAGGCGAAAAAACCCUCACACUUGGCUGGGCCCAGGUGGCUGGAGAGAGACUACCUCUUAAUGCCAACUCCCCACAUGUGGAAGGGAGGCCCUUGUGGAUCGUCUGCCACUGUUCUUCAUCAUAGCCUCCUCUGGGCUGGCUGAGGACCACGAGCUGCUUUCAGUUUGAUGUCUCAGCAUCCUAAUUAAGUAAGGAAAGAAGAGGACAGGCAAGAAUGAUAGGGCCAGCCUGAAGCCUUGGACUGCCUUCUUUUCCCCUCUCUUCCCAGGUCUGUGCUCUGUUUGAAAUUAGACUUCUGUUUUCUUCCAAGACGAAUGAUGGAGAGAGGAGGAAAAAAAAAAAAAGCCACCCAGGGUUGAAAAGUGGUUGCUUCUUACAGCUGACUUCCUGCCUUGGCCAAGAAGGCAGUCCUGUGUCCUCAACUAACCCCUGGCCACCAAGCCCUAUGCAAAUGAGAAGCUGUUUCCAUGUCUGCCCAUCUGAGGCUCUCAAGUAGAACAGAAAGAGAAGAAAAGAAAAAAACCACCAUUACCGUCAACAGAAAAACCCCAAGACCAAUUAAUUCUAGUCGACUGCAGCCAAGCUAGGGCGCUGGUGAGGGCACAUCCUGUUUUGCCAUUGAGGCUGUCACCCCCAUGCCAGGAACCUCUCUGGUGAAAGAAAUUGGGGGUGACAAAGAAGUCACAACACUUGUGGGACGAUUUUUCUAACCUUUGGUCACUGGGAAUGCCAUUUUCUUUAGGCUGAUUUGCUUUGAUGAGAAAACGGGAAAAGCAAACCUGAGUCUUAAUUAUGCCUGAAGAUCUAUUUUGGGGCCAGACUAAACUGGUCUUUGAUCUUGCAAGAACUGUUUGGCCUCUCCACAGCUGCAGGCUGGGGGAACAGCUGCCAGGCAGCAGCGUGCCGGCUAAGUUGUUUCAGUCGUGUCCGACACCGUGUGAUCCUAUGGACUGCAGCCCACCAGGCCCUUCUGUCCAUGGAAUUCUCCAGGCAAGAGGACUCUCAGGAACCCUGAUAUAAGAAGUGGCCCCCAUCCUUCACUCCUGUACCCUUUGUUUGAUUUGAAGAGCUGAGCAACCCUCCCAAGACCAAGUUUUAUUCCAGAGCUAAUACAAAAUUUAAAAUUCAGCCAGAAAGAUUCAGAUUAGCUGUGGGCCAAGCAGGUAUCAUGGAGAAGGAAAUGGCAACCCACUCCAGUAUUCUUGCCUAGAGAAUCCUGUGGACAGAGGAGCCUGGUGGGCUGCUGUCCAUGGGGUCACACAGACUUGGACACGACUGAAGUGACUUAGCAUGCAUGCAUGCAUUGGAGAAGGAAAUGGCAACCCACUCCAGUGUUCUUGCCUGGAGAGUCCCAGGGAAGGAGGAGCCUGAUGGGCUGCCAUCUAUGGAGUCGCAGAGAGUCAGACACAACUGAAGCGACUUAGCAGCAGCAGCAGCAGGCAGCUUCUCCAGAGGGGUGCCUUAGAGCCAUCUGGUCUUUUAUGAAUGAGUGUCUUCUUCCCAGGACUCUGUCAAGAGAUGCUCAGACCCAGCUUCGUGCUCCAGGAAGCCCUGUCCUCUCCAAGUUCGACACUGGCCUGCUCAGACAGCCACACUUCUUCAAAGACUUGAAGAGAAGCGUUGCCUCUUUCUUGAUCACAAGUUUACUGGUCUUUGGAUAAAAGAUCCUCAUCCUUCCUAAGCCACCAGCUGCUGACUCACUGGCACACAUCUUUGGACUUGUCAGCCCUCCUAAUGAGGAACGUGGGUCACAGUCAUGACCACAACCCACUUCCCAGAUCUCUGUGGACCUGCUGGGCCAUGCAGCCCAUUUCACAGGUAGGACCAAGGUUAAGUAUUGUUUUUUUUCUUUUUUUUUUUUUUUUAAUUAAUGACGCAUUUGGAAUCCCCUUCAUUCAUCCGUCCAAUCAUCUAGAGUGUGCUUAUUGAGCUCCUUCUGUAUACUGGCUUCUAUGACAGCCUUGUGCUGGGCCCUGAGGUUACAAGGGUGGACAGGACAGACAAGACUCCUACCCUUAGGAGUCCUUAGAGAUGUGCCCUGGGGGCCACAGGCCACUCACGGCUAGUAGGGCUUGAUGUGUGGUGAGUCCCUAUUGAGAUGUACCCGCGCAUAAAUUAUACACCAAUUUCAGACUUGGUACUAAAAUAAAAGGUAAAUAGCUCACCAAUCGUUUUUAUCUUGACUACAUGUUGGACCAGUCAUAGAGUGGACAUAAUGAGCUACACAGAAUAUAUUAUGGAAAUGGACCUUAUUUGCUCUUUUUACUUUUUAAAAUGUGGCUACUAGAGAAUUUAGGAUUAUAAAUGUGGCUUGCGUUAUAUUGUGUCGACCCAAAAGUUCAUUUCAUUGGGGUUUUUCUGUAAGAUGUAAUGGAAUGAACUUAUUGGGCAACCCAGUGUUUCUAUUGAACAGCACUGCUCUGGAGAGAAAGCAAGUCCUGGGCAAAUAACCAGAACCCUGCUCAGGGGAAGCAAGACAUAUUUCUGGGGCAGGAGGCACCAGCACAGAAUCGUCAACUCUAGAAAGUCAAGGAAGGGUGUGUGGGAAAGACUCUGUGUCUCCAAUAAAUGGUGGGUUUCGUUAUUUUCAGUGUCAUUUCUAAGAGUGGCAGUCUUGAUUGUGCAUCUUAUGGAAGGUAGAAAGCGUUCAUUUGUUUACCCGCCGAGCUUGGUCAUGGGUAAUGAUUAGGUUAGCUCAGCCUUUGCGUUCAUUGAGGCCUGACUGUGUUUUGAGGGUGAGCCAAGGAUGGUGUUAAGUGUGUAUGCAGAAAGAGGCAGCACUAUUUUAUUUUAUUUAUCUAUAGACAUUUUUAUAGAGCAUGCAACCAUUAUCAAAAAUUUACCUAAUUUUAUCAGUUAACAAAUUUUGUUGUUAUUGUUAUUCAAUUGCUAAGUCGUGUUCGACUCUUCGCGACCCCAUGGACCGCAGCACACCAGGCCUCCCUGUUCCUUGCUGUCCCCAGGAGGUUGCCCAAGUUCAUGUCCACUGAACUGGUGUUCCAACCAUCUCAUCCUGGGCCACUCUCUCCUCCUCUUGCCUUCAGUCCUUCCCAGCAUCAGAGUGUUUUCCAGUUGAGUCCAAAGUAACAAAUUUUACCAAGCAUUAAAUACCAAAGGGCUUUUACAGUUAAUUUCCUUUAAAAUUUGUAUGUGUUUUUACUUUAUUUUUUAAACUUUUUAUUUUGUUUUGGGGUAUAGCCGAUUAGCAAUGUUGUGAUAGCUUCAGUUGAGCCGCAAAGGUACUCAGCCAUACAUACACAUGUAUCCACUCUCCUCCAAACUCCCUUCCCACUCAGGUAGCACUGUUUUAAGAGAGUGAACAUUCAAGGAGCAAUUACUUUGUACCUGAGCUAUUCAUCUACCUGCUUCUCCUGUACCAGAUCGCCUCCUCCCAGGAUUGACUGUCUGCAGAGGUGUCCUGAUCACCUCCUUCCAGGCAGGGGAGUAGGAGUCAGGAAGGGUGAGUGCCAGCUUUAGGCACAUCACCAGGACGUAGCAUCCAGGAAUCAAACCCAGAGCAUCUGUCUGGAGUGUCACGUCUUCCCCCGGUUUGAAUUCCAGCCCUGCCACCUUCGGACUGAGACUUGAGUCACUCACUCAACUCCAGUGAACCUGUUUCAUCCUUUAUAAAACGAAGGGGAAACCUUGCAUGCGAUGAGAUUUAUUCUUUUUUAUUUUUGUUUUUAUUGUGGUAAAAGGCAUGCAAUGUACUAUUUUAACCAUAUUCGCCGUGCGGCUCAGUGACACUAAGUACGUUCACAUUGUCGUGCAGCUCUCACCAUCAUCACCUCCUGAAUUUUUCACCUUCUUCAGCUGAAACUCUGUCCCCAUUGAACAUGAACUCUCACUGAAGCAUUUAUUUCCAGGGAAGCAAUGGAGAAAGAGACAUAGAGAAUAGACUUAUGGACAUGGGGAGAGGGGAGGAGAGGGU